rnacentral:lncRNA from 1 species
GCACAUAAACCAUUUCCCACUAAUUCAUUUUGGUUAAUUAUAAUUAGUGUUAGAUUAAGCAUUGCAUAUAUUUUUUUAAUUACUAACAAAAAGAAAAAAGCUAACAGCAAAGAAAUCAUUUUUUUCUGCAAUUUUUUCCCACAAUCUAACAGAAUAACUCUAAUCCCAAUUCUCACAACUUUUUUUCUAAAAACAUCACCCUCUCAAAAUCAACUCUCACAAAAUUACUCUCUCAAAAUCACUCUCACAAAAAUUACUCUCUCAU